rnacentral:rRNA from 1 species
GACGUGGGGGGCCAGCGUUGUUCGGAAUUACUGGGUGUAAAGGGUUCGUAGGCGGUGUGGCAAGUCGGGAGUGAAAUUUCUGGGCUUAACCCAGAAGCUGCUUCCGAAACUGCUGUGCUUGAGUGUGGGAGAGGCGCGUGGAAUUGCAGGUGUAGCGGUGAAAUGCGUAGAUAUCUGCAGGAACACCCGUGGCGAAAGCGGCGCGCUGGACCACUACUGACGCUGAGGAACGAAAGCUAGGGGAGCAAACAGG